rnacentral:rRNA from 1 species
ACGAACGCUGGCGGCGUGCUUAACCCAUGCAAGUCGAACGGAAAGACCCUGCUUUUGUGGGGUGCUCGAGUGGCGAACGGGUGAGUAACACGUGAGUAACCUGCCCUUGACUUUGGGAUAACUUCAGGAAACUGGGGCUAAUACCGGAUAGGAGCUCCUGCUGCAUGGUGGGGGUUGGAAAGUUUCGGCGGUUGGGGAUGGACUCGCGGCUUAUCAGCUUGUUGGUGGGGUAGUGGCUUACCAAGGCUUUGACGGGUAGCCGGCCUGAGAGGGUGACCGGCCACAUUGGGACUGAGAUACGGCCCAGACUCCUACGGGAGGCAGCAGUGGGGAAUAUUGCACAAUGGGCGGAAGCCUGAUGCAGCAACGCCGCGUGCGGGAUGACGGCCUUCGGGUUGUAAACCGCUUUCGCCUGUGACGAAGCGUGAGUGACGGUAAUGGGUAAAGAAGCACCGGCUAACUACGUG